rnacentral:rRNA from 1 species
UACAGAGGCCCCAAGCAUUACCCGGAAUCACUGGGCGUAAAGGGUGCGUAGGUGGCGUAAUUAGUCCUUUCUCAAAUCCUCAUUGCUCAACAGUGAGGCUCGAAGGGAAACGGUUAUGCUCGAGGAUGUACGAGGUGUGUAGAACUCUAGGUGUAGGGGUGAAAUCCGUUGAUAUCUAGGGGAAUACCGAAUGCGAAGGCAGCACACUGGGACAUUCCUGACACUGAUGCACGAAAGCGUGGGGAGCGAAAAGG